UACGUAGGGGGCAAGCGUUGUCCGGAAUUAUUGGGCGUAAAGGGCUCGUAGGCGGUUUGUCGCGUCGGGAGUGAAAUCAUCUGGCUUAACUGGGUGCUUGCUUUCGAUACGGGCAGACUAGAGGUAUGCAGGGGAGAACGGAAUUCCUGGUGUAGCGGUGAAAUGCGCAGAUAUCAGGAAGAACACCAAUGGCGAAAGCAGCUCUCUGGGACGGUACUGACGCUGAGACGCGAAAGCGUGGGGAGCGAACAGG
rnacentral:rRNA from 1 species